rnacentral:tRNA from 1 species
AAUCUUGUAGUUUAAUCAAAACAUUAAAUUGCAAAUUUGAUAAUGAAUAAUAAUUGUUCUAAGAUUU